UAAAUGACAGUUGAUCAGUGUGCUCUGGU
rnacentral:piRNA from 1 species